AAACCUCAAACCGAGUUGUUUGCAAAAUUUUGCCUUUUGCUUAUGUCUAAGUAGGGAGCAUUAUUGAAUAAAUUUGGUUUUGGAAUCCAAAGUUGGGGAGAGUAAAGUGAAAAGUUGAUUAGAAACUUGGAAAAGUGAGUUUUUAUGAAAGGGUAAAAAUAUGAAAAGAAACAAGAAAAAGAAAUCACCCUUGAAACCAUAGAGCAAAGAAAAAGAAAAGAGAGAAAAAAAGCAAAGAAAAUGCUCAUGGUUGUGUAGAUUUGAAAAGAAAAAGAAAAAGAAAAAGAUAGGGAUCAAAGAAAGGGAAUUUGUGUAGAGUUAAAUGUUGGGAAUGCUCCCUUAGGAUAGGCAACUUUGUU
rnacentral:lncRNA from 1 species